UGGGGAAUUUUGGACAAUGGGCGCAAGCCUGAUCCAGCAAUGCCGCGUGCAGGAUGAAGGCCUUCGGGUUGUAAACUGCUUUUGUACGGAGCGAAAAGGCUCUCUCUAAUAAAGGGGGCUCAUGACGGUACCGUAAGAAUAAGCACCGGCUAACUACGUGCCAGCAGCCGCGGUAAUACGUAGGGUGCGAGCGUUAAUCGGAAUUACUGGGCGUAAAGCGUGCGCAGGCGGUUUUGUAAGACAGAUGUGAAAUCCCCGGGCUCAACCUGGGACCUGCAUUUGUGACUGCAAGGCUAGAGUACGGCAGAGGGGGAUGGAAUUCCGCGUGUAGCAGUGAAAUGCGUAGAUAUGCGGAGGAACACCGAUGGCGAAGGCAAUCCCCUGGGCCUGUACUGACGCUCAUGCACGAAAGCGUGGGGAGCAAACAGG
rnacentral:rRNA from 1 species